AUUGAACGCUGGCGGCAGGCCUAACACAUGCAAGUCGAACGAGUGGCGGACGGGUGAGUAAUGUCUGGGAAACUGCCCGAUGGAGGGGGAUAACUACUGGAAACGGUAGCUAAUACCGCAUACCAUCGGAUGUGCCCAGAUGGGAUUAGCUAGUUGGUGGGGUAACGGCUCACCUAGGCCACGAUCCAUAGCUGGCCUGAGAGGAUGACCGGCAAAACUGGAACUGAGACACGGCCCAGACUCCUACGGGAGGCAGCAGUGGGGAAUAUUGGGCAAUGGGCGCAAGCCUGAUGGAGCCAUGCCGCGUGUAUGAAGAAGGUCUUCGGGUUGUAAAGCACUUUCGUCGGGGAGGCGUUAUCCAAAGAGGAAGCCCCGGCUAACUCCGUGCCAGCAGCCGCGGUAAUAC
rnacentral:rRNA from 1 species